rnacentral:rRNA from 1 species
GACAGAGGUGCCGAGCGUUAGGCGGAAUCACUGGGCUUAAAGCGUGUGUAGGCGGAUUUGUAAGUACCUUGUGAAAUCCCACGGCUCAACCGUGGAACUGCUUGGUAUACUGCUUAUCUUGGGCCACUUAGGGGCUACCGGAACAAACGGUGGAGCGGUGAAAUGCGUAGAUAUCGUUUGGAACGCCAAUGGUGAAAACAGGUAGCUGGGAGUGUGCCGACGCUGAGACACGAAAGCCAGGGGAGCGAACGGG